rnacentral:lncRNA from 1 species
ACAUUUUUUCUUUUGGGAUCAUCUCCAUUUGACAUCCACAUAUAAAAAAGUUCAAAUAUCUUGAUGAAUUAACUGAUCAACUUUCCAAGUCCAUAACUCAUAUCUUGAUGAAUUGAUGAUUGAGGACACUAAAAUAAGUUCAAGUAUGCAAGAAAUGAUGAAUUAAAGAACUUCCCUUGAUUUCAUUUGACCAUGGGUUGAGGUUGCUUCAUGAGCUAAGCACAGUUGAUGAACAGAUGAAUUAGGGUUUCCAUGAGAA